GUGAGCAGGAGAGCCAAGAUCAGAAUCCAGAUCUAUCCGAUGCCAGCAUUACAAACUCUUAACAACGAUGCCAUACUACUGCUACAUGCCUGAGCAAGCAUCCUGAGAGAGCCAGGCAGAAGCUUCCCAGCCUCACAAGUCCCAGAGCAUCCCUUUGCCCACGGUCUACUGGUCAAAGCAGUCACAACCCACCCAGCUUCAGGAAGAGAGGACGGAGCGCCCAAGGCUUGAAGAGAGGAGUGGCAAAGUCACAUCAAAGAGUAGCCUGCGGGGUGGAAGGUAGUGUGGCAGCCAUCUUUGGAAAACACUGCCACAGCCAUCUCCCUAAGACUGCUGGACUUGGGGCACCUGAUGGUAGAGAACUUCAAUUUGGAAAACCCCUCUUUGGGGUCAACAGCAUCCUCAUUCACUGAAUGCCAGAAAAUAGGUGGGUUUUACCGAGAAAACUGAAUAGGCAGGUUCAUUUUUAAGCUUGUUUUAUUUGAAAGUUAUCUUACUGGUGUGGGACCUAGGAUUGUGUGUUUUCAGAAACCCCUAAGGAGUCAAUGCCUAAUGUUAUAGCCACAUAGAACCAAAUGAGUAUCAUCAGAUAGUCCUGCAAAUACUGUCAUUAAGGGGAACUAUAAAGAUAUCCAAAUGAAGUAAUGCUUAUGGGUAUUGUAAAAAAUUUUGAUCUAAGCUAUAGUCAGUUAGCAUUGGUAGUUUAAAGAGUCUUGGGAAGAUGACUGUCCCAGUGAAGCUUAGGUCACACAAGGCAUGACUCCAACUGUACCUGGCUUUGCGAACGUGCAGCUGAGGAUAGUGGCUGUGCCUGUGACAUAUAUGCACUGCAAAGUCUUCCUCAUACGUCAGACACGGGAUGUUCCCCACUUGGUCAAAAAGAGUUAUGAGAGUUGAGCCUAAAUCACAGAGAUAAAGAAACAUGUCCUUAUUUAUCAAGAAAUAAAUUUGGGAUGUCAGAACAAAA